GUAGGGAAUAUUGGACAAUGGGGGCAACCCUGAUCCAGCCAUGCCGCGUGUGUGAAGAAGGUCUUCGGAUUGUAAAGCACUUUAAGUUGGGAGGAAGGGCAGUAAGUUAAUACCUUGCUGUUUUGACGUUACCGACAGAAUAAGCACCGGCUAACUUCGUGCCAGCAGCCGCGGUAAUACGAAGGGUGCAAGCGUUAAUCGGAAUUACUGGGCGUAAAGCGCGCGUAGGUGGUUUUGUAAGUUGGAGGUGAAAUCCCCGGGCUCAACCUGGGAACUGCCUCCAAAACUGCAUGACUAGAGUACGGUAGAGGGUAGUGGAAUUUCCUGUGUAGCGGUGAAAUGCGUAGAUAUAGGAAGGAACACCAGUGGCGAAGGCGACUACCUGGACUGAUACUGACACUGAGGUGCGAAAGCGUGGGGAGCAAACAGGAUUAGAAACCCCAGUAGUCC
rnacentral:rRNA from 1 species